GUGUUAAAUACGACACACUAAAAAUAAACGAAACAGUGUAUCCUGGCAAAAAAUUAUAAAUAGAGAUUUCUGUACCACGGGUUGUUGCUUGUUGUUCGAAAUAGUAGCGGCGGCGCAUGUCAAGUUUUUGAGCCUAAAAACAAAUGACAAGAAAUAAUGGCAGAUGGAAAAAGUGGAACAGCAGAAGCCAGUGACGAUAUUGAAAAGGGAUCGAGUACAAAAAUAUUAGAGUCGGAGGAAAAUAAUGAACCGUUGGAAAAGGCCAAGGAAAAACCACCACCUGGCAUCAAUGCAUCUUUGGUCCUCCUUUAUGCAGUAUUCUUCUUUAUGUUCACCGUAGGAUGGGUUAGUCUUAACAGUUGUUCUAUCAACAGACUCAUUCCAAUUUAUUUGAUAGUAGCAGGUACAGUUUCGUCGGAGCCUUGGCCAAAUUUUUGAGUGACAGAUCAAACAGAUAUCUGUUCAAUUCAGCCAUAGUGCUUGUAGUUUUUGACAUCGGAUGGCAUGGAUUAGGGACGUACGUCGUUUAUAAGGAAUACCAACCGAAUUACGAUCCUAAAAUUGGCGAAUACUGUAACAGAACGGCAUAUUUACUAGCUUUUUGGAUACUCACCUUCCAGUAUACGCUGUUAGGAAUCUUCAUCAUGUUGUCAUUGUGCUACAUGUUAAUGAGGGGUGAUUUCAAGAAAAAAUAAUAAGCGUACUAUUCAAAAAAAUAUUUAUUUCGAAAAUAUAUUUUAUUUUUAUAAUG